GUGCUUACUUUGGCAGCACAUAUACUAAAAUUGGAACGAUACAGAGAAUAUUAGCAUGGUCCCUAUGCAAGGAUGAUACUGAAAUUUGUGAAGCAUUCCAUUUUUUA
rnacentral:snRNA from 1 species